CUCCGGGCCCGCCCCACUCUCUUGCCAGCCGUUCCCAGGCUCCGCCCCGUUCCACUGACCUUGCUCCUUUGGCCCCUGACUCAGGUCUUUCCUGAGGUUGUUAACCUUUCACUUGGGUUUCAUGGCUGACCACCUCGAGGUGGCCUGCUAGAUUCAGAUUUGCUGCUUGACCACCUCCCUCUCCAGACUGAUAGAAGUGAUCUGAACACGGGAGCAAGCAUGACCUCCCACCCUCCCCUGUCUACAUUUUGUUUUGGCCUCUGCCAAGCAUACUGAAUCUGGCUGAGAUUGAGAUAAGACACUGAGAGCUGAGAACUCAAGCUAUCCUAUGAUGCUGUGGAUCUAAAUUCCAUUUGCCAGGACCAGUUCCCCACUUCCUUCGGGGCUUCUGUCUUCCAUAAGCCAUCUCUCCCUCAGUCGUAGAUGGUUGGACCAGUCCAUGAGAGUCACUGUGCAAGCCUGUGGUAGCUGGCUGUCUAUUAAAAUCAUUGAAAGUGCUCUUUAUCUGGCCCUAGACUGCCUGUUCUGCUUGCGAGCCCCAACAGCUCAACAGAAAUUAAUAACACUGCAAGAGAACUUGAAAAAUCACUUCUCCAGACCACUAAGGUGGAAAACUCCAUCAGGGUGACAGGAAACACCGAUCUAUUGGCUUGGCAGCUCUCCCUGGAUGCCCCAGCAUCACCUCUGUUCUUGGAAACAAAGGAGACUCUUCUGAAUCUGCCAUCACACUCAGUCUUGCCCUAGGCAGUUGACACAUGGAUGUGCCAGUGUAAGGAAGAAUCUAGCUAGGAACUGACGGAAACAGAUGAAGACCCACAGCCAAGCAUCAGGCAGAGCCCAGGGAACCCUGCAGAAGAGGGGGAGGAAGGAUUGGAGGAGCCAGAGGGGUCAAAGACACCAUAAGAAAAUCCACAGAACCAACU